UACGUAGGGGGCAAGCGUUGUCCGGAAUUAUUGGGCGUAAAGGGUGCGUAGGCGGCCUAGUAAGUCAGAUGUGAAAGACCACGGCUUAACCGUGGGGUUGCAUUUGAAACUGUUAGGCUUGAGUAUCGGAGAGGGCAGUGGAAUUUCCAGUGUAGCGGUGAAAUGCGUAGAUAUUGGGAGGAACACCAGUGGCGAAGGCGACUGCCUGGACGAAAACUGACGCUGAGGCACGAAAGCUAGGGGAGCAAACAGG
rnacentral:rRNA from 1 species